UCCACUAUUUAGGAGGUCUUUCUAAAUCCCC
rnacentral:piRNA from 1 species